rnacentral:rRNA from 1 species
GAUGAACGCUGGCGGCGUGCCUAACACAUGCAAGUCGAACGGAGUCCAGCCUUUAAGACCUUCGGGUCAAAGAGGGGAAGACUGAGUGGCGGACGGGUGAGUAACACGUGGGCAACCUGGCACAUAGAGGGGGAUAACAGAGAGAAAUUUCUGCUAAUACCGCAUAAGCACACACUGCCGCAUGGCAGAGGGUGAAAAGAGAAUCGCUAUGAGAUGGACCCGCGUCUGAUUAGCCAGUUGGCAGGGUAAGAGCCUACCAAAGCGACGAUCAGUAGCCGAUCUGAGAGGAUGAACGGCCACAUUGGGACUGAGACACGGCCCAAACUCCUACGGGAGGCAGCAGUGGGGGAUAUUGCACAAUGGGGGGAACCCUGAUGCAGCGACGCCGCGUGAGUGAAGAAGUAUUUCGGUAUGUAAAGCUCUAUCAGCAGGGAAGAUAAUGACAGUACCUGAAUAAGAAGCCCCGGCUAACUACGUG